rnacentral:rRNA from 1 species
GAUGAACGCUGGCGGCGUGCCUAAUACAUGCAAGUCGAGCGAACAGACGAGGAACUUGCUCCUCUGACGUUAGCGGCGGACGGGUGAGUAACACGUGGAUAACCUACCUAUAAGACUGGGAUAACUUCGGGAAACCGGAGCUAAUACCGGAUAAUAUAUUGAACCGCAUGGUUCAAUAGUGAAAGACGGUUUUGCUGUCACUUAUAGAUGGAUCCGCGCCGCAUUAGCUAGUUGGUAAGGUAACGGCUUACCAAGGCAACGAUGCGUAGCCGACCUGAGAGGGUGAUCGGCCACACUGGAACUGAGACACGGUCCAGACUCCUACGGGAGGCAGCAGUAGGGAAUCUUCCGCAACGGGCGAAAGCCUGACGGAGCAACGCCGCGUGAGUGAUGAAGGUCUUCGGAUCGUAAAACUCUGUUAUUAGGGAAGAACAAAUGUGUAAGUAACUAUGCACGUCUUGACGGUACCUAAUCAGAAAGCCACGGCUAACUACGUG